AGCACAGGUUUACCUGUGUGACUGCGUACCUUUUGUAUAAUGGGUCAGCGACUUAUAUUCUGUAGCAAGGUUAACCGUAUAGGGGAGCCGUAGGGAAACCGAGUCUUAACCGGGCGUUAAGUUGCAGGGUAUAGACCCGAAACCCGGUGAUCUAGCCAUGGGCAGGUUGAAGGUUGGGUAACACUAACUGGAGGACCGAACCGACUAAUGUUGAAAAAUUAGCGGAUGACCUGUGGCUGGGGGUGAAAGGCCAAUCAAACCGGGAGAUAGCUGGUUCUCCCCGAAAGCUAUUUAGGUAGCGCCUCGUGAAUUCAUCUCCGGGGGUAGAGCACUGUUUCGGCUAGGGGGCCAUCCCGGCUUACCAACCCGAUGCAAACUGCGAAUACCGGAGAAUGUUAUCACGGGAGACACACGGCGGGUGCUAACGUCCGUCGUGAAGAGGGAAACAACCCAGACCGCCAGCUAAGGUCCCAAAGUCAUGGUUAAGUGGGAAACGAUGUGGGAAGGCCCAGACAGCCAGGAUGUUGGCUUAGAAGCAGCCAUCAUUUAAAGAAAGCGUAAUAGCUCACUGGUCGAGUCGGCCUGCGCGGAAGAUGUAACGGGGCUAAACCAUGCACCGAAGCUGCGGCAGCGAACGUAUCACUUAAAGCGAUUCAGCGGGUUACGAUUGACGGAGCGAAGCGACGUCAAAGCGUAUACAAAGUCGAGUCGGUUUAAGGAUACGUU
rnacentral:rRNA from 1 species